UACGAAGGGGGCUAGCGUUGCCCGGAAUCACUGGGCGUAAAGGGUGCGUAGGCGGGUCUUUUAAGUCAGGGGUGAAAUCCUGGAGCUCAACUCCAGAACUGCCUUUGAUACUGAGGAUCUUGAGUUCGGGAGAGGUGAGUGGAACUGCGAGUGUAGAGGUGAAAUUCGUAGAUAUUCGCAAGAACACCAGUGGCGAAGGCGGCUCACUGGCCCGAUACUGACGCUGAGGCACGAAAGCGUGGGGAGCAAACAGGG
rnacentral:rRNA from 1 species